AUACGUAGGGGGCGAGCGUUGUCCGGAAUGAUUGGGCGUAAAGGGCGCGUAGGCGGCGCGGUAAGUCUGGAGUGAAAGUCCUGCUUUCAAGGUGGGAAUUGCUUUGGAUACUGCCGCGCUUGAGUGCCGGAGAGGUUAUCGGAAUUCCCGGUGUAGCGGUGAAAUGCGUAGAGAUCGGGAGGAACACCAGUGGCGAAGGCGGGUAACUGGACUGCAACUGACGCUGAGGCGCGAAAGUGUGGGGAGCAAACAGGAUUAGAUACCCUGGUAGUCCACACUGUAAACGAUGAAUGCUAGGUGUAAGAGGUAUCGACCCCUUUUGUGCCGGAGUCAACACAAUAAGCAUUCCGCCUGGGGAGUACGGCCGCAAGGUUGAAACUCAAAGGAAUUGACGGGG
rnacentral:rRNA from 1 species